CUGCUCCUAGUACGAGAGGACCGGAGUGGACGCAUCACUGGUGUUCGGGUUGUCAUGCCAAUGGCACUGCCCGGUAGCUAAAUGCGGAAGAGAUAAGUGCUGAAAGCAUCUAAGCACGAAACUUGCCCUGAGAUGAGUUCUCCCUGAGACUUAAAGUCUCCUGAAGGAACGUUGAAGACGACGACGUUGAUAGGCCGGGUGUGUAAGCGCAGCGAUGCGUUGAGCUAACCGGUACUAAUGAACCGUGAGGCUUAACCUU
rnacentral:rRNA from 1 species